rnacentral:rRNA from 1 species
UUAAAUUGAAGAGUUUGAUCAUGGCUCAGAUUGAACGCUGGCGGCAGGCCUAACACAUGCAAGUCGAACGGUAACAGGAAGCAGCUUGCUGCUUUGCUGACGAGUGGCGGACGGGUGAGUAAUGUCUGGGAAACUGCCUGAUGGAGGGGGAUAACUACUGGAAACGGUAGCUAAUACCGCAUAACGUCGCAAGACCAAAGAGGGGGACCUUCGGGCCUCUUGCCAUCGGAUGUGCCCAGAUGGGAUUAGCUUGUUGGUGGGGUAACGGCUCACCAAGGCGACGAUCCCUAGCUGGUCUGAGAGGAUGACCAGCCACACUGGAACUGAGACACGGUCCAGACUCCUACGGGAGGCAGCAGUGGGGAAUAUUGCACAAUGGGCGCAAGCCUGAUGCAGCCAUGCCGCGUGUAUGAAG